AGCAACAAGGUCAGAGUGCUUUAUACUAUUUUUCUCAUUUAGUUUUAUACACCUCAAUUUCUGACCUCUUUCCAUUUGCUGCAACAUUAACUACACCUAAGUGCACAUUUUACAGCAUUGAAAUAUUUUCUGGUGUUUACCCAAGACAGUUUUGCCUACUAGCUCUCAGAUGGCUGGUGCCUUUUUUGUGUCCUAAUAGAGCCUCCAAUCCACUGCAAAAUUUCAUGAGCAUGAUCUCUCUUCUCUCCUCAAGUCAUAAAAAUAUUGAGCAUGCCUAGAUUCAGGGCGGUGUGACACUGGGUCAUACCUGUACCAUGCAGCACUCAAUUGCUGAAAACCAUCAAGAACUGUGUGGAAAAGAAUGAAUUUCAAGGACACAUGCAUGAAAGUUUUCCUGAGUACAUCCCUUCCUAAGAUGUGUUGGAAUUCACAGCUGAAGUUUAAAUUUUCAUACACUUUUUUUUACUCUACUGAUUUCAAUUUCUUGAUUAGCUUUGUGCUUACAAAAUUUGGGGCCAUAAUUUAGCCUUUUAGUUCAAAGUCUUGCCUGGUUUGACACAGCUUGAGAUUUGAGGAUCCUCCUCUUGUCAGGACUGGCAAAACCUUUGUGGUUACAUGUGUAUUGAAAUUUAAAAAAUAUCUAGGGGCCAUUCUUCAGUCCUGAGAGUGAGUAGG